rnacentral:rRNA from 1 species
UAGGGAAUCUUCCACAAUGGACGCAAGUCUGAUGGAGCAACGCCGCGUGAGUGAAGAAGGUUUUCGGACCGUAAAGCUCUGUUGUUGGUGAAGAAGGAUAGAGGUAGUAACUGGCCUUUAUUUGACGGUAAUCAACCAGAAAGUCACGGCUAACUACGUGCCAGCAGCCGCGGUAAUACGUAGGUGGCAAGCGUUGUCCGGAUUUAUUGGGCGUAAAGCGAGCGCAGGCGGAAGAAUAAGUCUGAUGUGAAAGCCCUCGGCUUAACCGAGGAAUUGCAUCGGAAACUGUUUUCUUGAGUGCAGAAGAGGAGAGUAGAACUCCAUGUGUAGCGGUGGAAUGCGUAGAUAUAUGGAAGAAUACCAGUGGCGAAGGCGGCUCUCUGGUCUGCAAACUGACGCUGAGGCUCGAAAGCA